rnacentral:rRNA from 1 species
AUACGGAGGGUGCGAGCGUUAAUCGGAAUUACUGGGCGUAAAGCGCGCGUAGGCGGCUAAGUAAGUCGGAUGUGAAAGCCCUGGGCUCAACCUGGGAAUUGCACUCGAUACUGCUUGGCUAGAGUAUGGUAGAGGGUAGUGGAAUUCCUGGUGUAGCGGUGAAAUGCGUAGAUAUCGGAAGGAACACCAGUGGCGAAGGCGACUUCCUGGGCCAAUACUGACGCUGAGGUGCGAAAGCGUGGGGAGCAAACAGGAUUAGAAACCCCGGUAGUCC